UACGUAGGGGGCUAGCGUUGUCCGGAAUCAUUGGGCGUAAAGAGCGCGUAGGCGGCCAGAUAAGUCCGGUGUGAAAGUCACAGGCUCAACCUGUGAAUGCCGCUGGAAACUGUCUGGCUUGAGUCCGGUAGGGGAGCGUGGAAUUCCUGGUGCAGCGGUGAAAUGCGCAGAUAUCAGGAGGAACACCAGCGGCGAAGGCGGCGCUCUGGGCCGGUACUGACACUGAGGAGCGAAAGCGUGGGUAGCAAACAGG
rnacentral:rRNA from 1 species